rnacentral:rRNA from 1 species
UCAGAGCCGUGGAAGACGACCACGUUGAUAGGCCGGGUGUGGAAGUGCGGCAACGCAUGAAGCUUACCGGUACUAAUAGCUCGAUUGGCUUGAUCGU